AAGGCUAUACUUUCAGGGAUCAUUUCUAUAGUACGUUACUAGAGAAGUUUCUCUCACUGUGUAGAGUACUACAGACCAUGAAGAGGAGAGGUAGUGUUCCUUCCUGAGUGUGAAGCCGGCUCUUGGUGUUGCUUUGCUGUAACUGCUAUUUGCCAUUGAUGAUCGUUCUUACUUUCUCCUUGGAGGGAACAAGAGGGAAGGAAUGCAGUCUAAGUGGAA
ensembl:snoRNA